rnacentral:rRNA from 1 species
CCUACGGGAGGCAGCAGUAGGGAAUCUUCCACAAUGGGCGAAAGCCUGAUGGAGCAACGCCGCGUGGGUGAAGAAGGUCUUCGGAUCGUAAAACCCUGUUGUUAGAGAAGAAGGUGCGUGAGAGUAACUGUUCACGUUUCGACGGUAUCUAACCAGAAAGCCACGGCUAACUACGUGCCAGCAGCCGCGGUCAUACGUAGGUGGCAAGCGUUAUCCGGAUUUAUUGGGCGUAAAGGGAACGCAGGCGGUCUUUUAAGUCUGAUGUGAAAGCCUUCGGCUUAACCGGAGUAGUGCAUUGGAAACUGGGAGACUGGAGUGCAGAAGAGGAGAGUGGAACUCCAUGUGUAGCGGUGAAAUGCGUAGAUAUAUGGAAGAACACCAGUGGCGAAAGCGGCUCUCUGGUCUGUAACUGACGCUGAGGUUCGAAAGCGUGGGUAGCAAACAGGAUUAGAUACCCGGGUAGUC